UACAGGCCGCAAGGUGCUGACGAGUGGCGAACGGGUGAGUAAUACAUCGGAACGUGCCCGAUCGUGGGGGAUAACGCAGCGAAAGCUGUGCUAAUACCGCAUACGAUCUACGGAUGAAAGCGGGGGAUCGCAAGACCUCGCGCGGACGGAGCGGCCGAUGGCAGAUUAGGUAGUUGGUGGGGUAAAGGCCUACCAAGCCGACGAUCUGUAGCUGGUCUGAGAGGACGACCAGCCACACUGGGACUGAGACACGGCCCAGACUCCUACGGGAGGCAGCAGUGGGGAAUUUUGGACAAUGGGCGCAAGCCUGAUCCAGCCAUGCCGCGUGCAGGAUGAAGGCCUUCGGGUUGUAAACUGCUUUUGUACGGAACGAAAAGGUUUCUUUUAAUACAGGGAACUGAUGACGGUAC
rnacentral:rRNA from 1 species